rnacentral:rRNA from 1 species
GAUGAACGCUGGCGGCGUGCUUAACACAUGCAAGUCGAACGAUGAAGCCCAGCUUGCUGGGUGGAUUAGUGGCGAACGGGUGAGUAACACGUGAGUAACCUGCCCUUAACUCUGGGAUAAGCCUGGGAAACUGGGUCUAAUACCGGAUAGGAGCGUCCACCGCAUGGUGGGUGUUGGAAAGAUUUAUCGGUUUUGGAUGGACUCGCGGCCUAUCAGCUUGUUGGUGAGGUAAUGGCUCACCAAGGCGACGACGGGUAGCCGGCCUGAGAGGGUGACCGGCCACACUGGGACUGAGACACGGCCCAGACUCCUACGGGAAGCAGCAGUGGGGAAUAUUGCACAAUGGGCGCAAGCCUGAUGCAGCGACGCCGCGUGAGGGAUGACGGCCUUCGGGUUGUAAACCUCUUUCAGUAGGGAAGAAGCGAAAGUGACGGUACCUGCAGAAGAAGCACCGGCUAACUACGU